GACGAACGCUGGCGGCGUGCUUAACACAUGCAAGUCGAACGCUGAAGCUUGGUGCUUGUACUGGGUGGAUGAGUGGCGAACGGGUGAGUAAUACGUGAGUAACCUGCCCUUGUUUCUGGGAUAAGCCUGGGAAACUGGGUCUAAUACUGGCUACGACAUGUCACCGCUUGGUGGUGUGUGGAUUCGGUUUUUCUGGGUUUGGAUGGGCCCACGGCCUAUUAGCUUGUUGGUGGGGUAAUGGCCCACCAAGGCGACGACCGGUAGCCGGCCUGAGAGGGUGAUAAGCGGCAUGGGAGGGGAGACGGGGACAAUAGGACUGAGGGACGGACCAGAGUGGUACAGGGGACAGCAGGGGGAAGUAUUGCACAGUGGGCGGAAGCGUGAUGCGGAGGCGCUGGGUUAGGGAAGACGGCCUGCGGGUAGUGAACCGCAUCAGGCACGGAAGAAGCGGUAGUGACGGUACGUACAGAAGAAGCGCCGGCUAACUACGUG
rnacentral:rRNA from 1 species